AACGGUCUAUACCUGCGGUACCUGCGGAAGGAUCAUUAGUGAACGCCCUCACGGGCUUAUAACUAUUCCAAACCUCUGUGAACCGUGCCCUUCGGGGCUAUUUUACAAACAUGGUGUAAUGAACGUCAUAUAUCAUAACAAAACAAAACUUUUAACAACGGAUCUCU
rnacentral:misc_RNA from 1 species